rnacentral:tRNA from 1 species
CCCCUGGUGGUCUGGUGGUCAGGAUGUGGGGCUCUCACCGCCGCCGCCCGGGUUCCAUUCCCGGUCAGGGAA